rnacentral:rRNA from 1 species
GACGUAGGGCGCGAGCGUUGUCCGGAUUUAUUGGGCGUAAAGAGCUCGUAGGCGGCUCGUUGCGUCGGCUGUGAAAACCCGCAGCUCAACUGUGGGCUUGCAGCUGAUACGGGCGGGCUGGGAUUCGGUAGGGGAGACUGGAAUUCCUGGUGUAGCGGUGAAAUGCGCAGAUAUCAGGAGGAACACCAAAGGCGAAGGCAGCAUCCUGGGAAGUUCCUGACGCUCGGGUGCGAAAGCCAGGGGAGCGAACGGG